rnacentral:rRNA from 1 species
AUGAGUUGGCUCGAGGAAUCUUAUAUAAGGAUUUCCCUGCGUCUUUUGUUUGGGUGUCAGGUAGCAAGUAUUGGAAAAGGAGGGCUAAACACACGCAGAUUGGGAGAAUUGUGUGCACAUCCAGCUGAAGGGGAGAGGUAUUAUCUUAGAGUGCUUCUAAAUCAUGUCACGGGUGCUACAUCCUUCCAAGACCUAAGGACAGUGGAUGGUAUUGUUUUCCCAACAUUCCGUGAAGCUGCUGAAAAUAGGGGCCUUAUUGAGUCUGACAAUAGUAUCGACGAGUGUCUUAAUGAGGCUGAGGUUUUUCAGAUGCCAUCUUCCCUUCGGAGGCUAUUUGCUACUAUAUUGGUCUUUUGUGAGCCCAGCGAUGUGCGUGGCCUAUGGGACCGGCACUUGGAAGCUAUGACAGAAGACUAUCGACUAACCCACAUGUCCCCCCAUGAAGUUGAGCAGAUGGCUCUGUUAGAUAUAAAAACCAUGCUACAAUCGAUGGGGAAGGACAUAUCGUCAUUCCCUCUUCCAGAAAUUGACGACUCAUAUGAUGCCCCAGAUAAUGAGGCUAGGGAGAUCAUAGAGGAGUCCACGAUCGAGGUGGACCCAGAACACAUUGGCUUGUCAUCUUUUCUAAACCCAGAACAGAGAUAUGCAUAUGAUGAGAUACUUGCGACAAUUAAUAGUGGCCAGGGAGGUGUGUUCUUUGUGGAUGGACCAGGAGGCACAGGAAAAACAUAUCUGUACAAAGCUCUACUUGCAAAAGUACGUGGUGAGGGUCAGAUAGCUGUUGGAACAGCGACGUCAGGUGUUGCUGCAUCCAUCUUGGCUGGAGGGAGGACUGCACACUCGAGGUUUAAAAUACCACUAAACAUUGAAGACGGUGGGGUUUGUAGUUUCGCCAAGCAAAGUGGGAUAGCUAAGCUUCUUAUGAGGGUGUCCCUCAUAAUUUGGGAUGAGGCCUCCAUGACAAAGCGCCAGGCAGUCGAGGCCCUGGACAAUAGCAUGAGGGACAUCAUGGGUCAACCUGACCUGCCGUUUGGUGGAAAGACGGUUGUGUUUGGGGGAGACUUUAGACAAGUGCUUCCUGUUGUUCGUAAGGGAACAAGGUCACAGAUAACUGAUGCGACCCUACGUAAGUCUUAUCUUUGGAAUAGUAUGAGACAACUAAGACUGGUCCGUAAUAUGAGGGCUCAGGUUGAUCCAUGGUUUGCUGAUUAUCUUCUGCGUGUUGGGAAUGGCACCGAAGAUACGGUGGAUGAUGGUUACAUACGACUUCCAGAUGAGAUUUGCAUACCAAACACCGGUGAUGACGCCUCUGAUAUUGACAAGCUUAUUGAAAAUGUGUUCCCGAUGCUGCAAGAUGAAAACAUCUCAGAUCCAAACUACAUAACAUCUCGAGCAAUUUUGUCAACUCGGAAUGAGUACAUUGACAAGAUCAACAUGAGGAUGAUUGAGAGAUUUCCUGGGGAGGAGAUGGUAUACCACAGUUUUGAUCGGGCUGAGGAUGAUCCACACAACUACUAUCCUGCAGAAUUCUUAAAUUCAUUAACACCUAACGGGCUACCUCCCCACAUCCUAAAGUUGAAGAUUAAUUGCCCUAUUAUAUUGUUACGGAACAUUGACCCAGCGAAUGGGUUGUGCAAUGGGACUAGGUUGGUUGUCCGGGGGUUCAUGAGGAAUGCAAUUGAUGCUGAGAUUGUGCUGGGCCAGCAUGCUGGUAAGAGGGUGUUCCUUCCUCGAAUUCCUCUAUGCCCGUCAGACGACGAGAUGUUUCCAUUUAGGUUCAAGAGGAAGCAAUUCCCUGUUAGACUUAGCUUUGCUAUGACCAUUAACAAGGCACAAGGACAAACUAUACCAAAUGUUGGUGUAUACCUCCCUGAACCUGUAUUUUCACAUGGCCAACUCUAUGUUGCUCUUUCUAGAGCUACGUCUAGAAGUAAUCUAAAGAUUCUUACUAUCCCGGGUAAGGAAGAGGAAGGCCGGUCCAACUCCAUUGCAAAAUUUACAAAGAACAUAGUCUACAAAGAAGUUCUCAAUGUGUAG